AUAAAAAUGUCUUAUGCCUGAUUUGUGUGCUUUUGUGUUUUUCUAGCAUUAAACAUUAAAUAACCAAAAAGAUAUAUAAUAGCAUGUAAAGUAGAUAAAGGUAUCUGAAAUCAAAACAACAGACAAAAUUAAAAAAUAAAAACGUUGACUACAUGUAAUGAAAGGGUGCAACUGAUGUUCACGCCUGUAAGCCUGUAAAGUUUAGGGUACUUUUUUUAAUGUCUAUUUUUUUUUUUUAUUUAAAUUUUUUUUAAA